GCUGAACCAGCUUCUCGGCGCCAUUUUGUCUGGGCAGAGGUGGCCGCAGCUGUAUCGCAUUUUAUGUUUCUGGCGAGAGGAGAGCGGAAUCUUUAUCCCGUGAAUUCAUUUAACUGCGGCAGCCACCCGGCGAUUCCUCCAGGACAGCACCCAGUGAAGGUCGGAAGAGUCUGGAUCUCUCAGAAAGCAGUUGGUCUGAAGAAAACAGAACAGCUCAGUGACAGAUAUCUGCAAGUAUUCCUGAGAGGGAGCCUCACUCUGGAAAAAUGAAGAAAGGUGUUCCAGUUUUUAAAAGACCUGGAUCUGCUAUCUUGAUAAAUUUCUGAUUCCCUUGUGAAUGAUAGAAAUGAAAAUGAAUGGAUAGUCUUAUCAGAUAAGGAACGGCUACCCACUCUAGCAUUCUGGCCUGGAGAAUUCCAUGGACAGUAUAGUCCAUGGGGUCGCAAAGAGUCGGACACAACUGAGCAACUUUCACAUUCACUUUUUCAAGCUCACAGAACACUUUAAAAAUUUCCAAUUUCAUUUUUCUGGUAAGUUACAGAUAGCUUCAAAAUGUAUCUCCAGUUCUUCUUAGUCAAGACAUCUCCUACCAGUUUUUUAACACCAAUGAAAAUGCAAGGACGCAAAGGAGGAAAAGGAGAACAAUAAACUUCCUCAAAUCUUUCUCCAACUCAUUGGCCAAAAAGCCUAUCUUCUUUUACCAACGGGGAAAAAUGUCAACUUUUCUUGAAUUUGACUCUCUUCUGAACUCUUUCAGGCCUUGUACACAAUGACAAAUACAGUUCAACCUAAAAUUCUUAACAGCCUCACUUCUACUGUAUUAUCAGAUACUGACAGUUUGUAAGUACUGCUAUCUAUAAAACUAUAACAUUUAAACACAAAAUCAACUAGCUUCACUAACAAAUCCCAUAAGACUCAAAAUGUAUUUUUGUUCAAAAAUUUUAAAAUACCAUUUCAUAAACCAUUAGAAAUCUAUACAUCUUGUUUCUACCACCAAGAAAAUGGCACACAAAAAAUAAACAUCUAUUUAUUCAGUAUCUACUGAGGGCUAUGGGGCUUCCCAGGUGGUACUAGUAGUAAAGAACCCGCCUGCCAAUGCAGGAGAUCUAAGAGACGCGGGUUCAAUCCCUGGGUCAGGAAGAUCUCCCUGGAGAACAGCAUGGCCACCCACUCGAGUAUUCUUGCCUGGAGAAUCCCAUGGACAGAGGAGCCUGGCAGGCUAGUCCAUAGGGUCACAAAGAAUCGGACACGACUGAAGCAACUUAGUAUGCACACACUGAGGGCUAUGUGGCAGCACAUGCAAAGACCAGAUACUAUCUGUAACCUUAUGAAAAUCCCAUGAUCGAAUACUGAAGGUAUUAGUAGAAAGUAAGAAAACUACAUCUACACAUGGGCUUUUCUAAUAUUCUCAAAACAUUUUCCUACCACACAACUUUUCAUUACAUUCAAAACAUUGAGCUCAAACAUCAACACAGCUUAUUUAGUAGCAAUAAAAAAAAAAUUUUUAAGAGAGCUGAAUGACAUGAAAGAAAAAUUUUUAAAUCUUUUAUCUCAUCCCAAAGCUGCUUUAUAUUAAAAAAUACAAUGAUUACUUAUAUAUAUAUUAUAUAGAUAUAUGUAUAACUCAAUCACUGUGCUAUACACUUGAAACUAUGUUAU